rnacentral:rRNA from 1 species
UACGAAGGGGGCUAGCGUUGCUCGGAAUCACUGGGCGUAAAGCGCACGUAGGCGGAUUGCUAAGUCAGGGGUGAAAUCCUGGAGCUCAACUCCAGAACUGCCCUUGAUACUGGCGGUCUCGAGUCCGGGAGAGGUGAGUGGAACUGCGAGUGUAGAGGUGAAAUUCGUAGAUAUUCGGAGGAACACCAGUGGCGAAGGCGGCUCACUGGUCCGGUACUGACGCUGAGGUGCGAAAGCGUGGGGAGCAAACAGG